ensembl:lncRNA LINC00668 long intergenic non-protein coding RNA 668
GGGGAAGGGCCCUAGAGCCGUGGGGAGAGGCAGCCCGUGGCCUGGAGCAGUGGGUGGAUCGGGCGGAGGCCGUCAAGCUAGCCGGAAGGGGCUGUGCUGUCAACCAGCGAGCGCAGGAGGUGUUAACCACCGAAGGGAGGUAGAAUGUUUUUCCCCACCAGAGGAGGCAGCGACCACGUCUCCUCUAUGGAGGCAUUCAAGAGCCGUCCAGCUGAAGCAGCAUCACUGUCUGAGAGAGAGGCAUCCAAAAGGGAAAAAGCCGGCCUGAGGUGGACCACAGCAGACUUGAUAGGCAGGCUUGAGGAGGCGGCGUCUGAUUUACACAGGGCCCACAGAUUGGUCUGAUCAGGUGUGACGUUUACAUAGCGCUCGGGGAAGGCUGGUCGUCCCACCCUAAUCUUAUUAAACAAAUGGGCUUUCUACUUGGCCAGUACCAUCUUGUCUGCUCCUUACUAUACACGCGGGUGGCAAAGACAGGAGAAGAUGGAGCCACCGUUUUGAACGUGUCUAUUCCCAGGUAACCUUUCUCUGUUGGCACAACCACCAGUAUUAGCCUAUGCAAGCUUCCAGCUUGCUUGUCUGUGCCUGCAGCUUGAUUUUACAGG